rnacentral:rRNA from 1 species
UGGAUUAUUCGAUGCAACGCGAAAACCUUACCUGCCUUGACAUGUACGGAACUUUCCAGAGAUGGAUUGGUGCCCGAAAGGGAGCCGUAACACAGGUGCUGCAUGGCUGUCGUCAGCUCGUGUCGUGAGAUGUUGGGUUAAGUCCCGCAACGAGCGCAACCCUUGCCAUUAAUUGCCAUCAUUUAGUUGGGCACUUUAAUGGGACUGCCGGUGACAAACCGGAGGAAGGUGGGGAUGACGUCAAGUCCUCAUGGCCCUUAUGGCCAGGGCUUCACACGUAAUACAAUGGUCGGUACAGAGGGUAGCCAACCCGCGAGGGGGAGCCAAUCCCAGAAAGCCGAUCGUAGUCCGGAUUGCAGUCUGCAACUCGACUGCAUGAAGUCGGAAUCGCUAGUAAUCGCGGAUCAGCAUGUCGCGGUGAAUACGUUCCCGGGCCUUGUACACACCGCCCGUCACACCAUGGGAGUGGGUUCCACCAGAAGUAGGUAGUCUAACCGCAAGGGGGACGCUUACCACGGUGGGGUUCAUGACUGGGGUGAAGUCGUAACAAGGUAGCCGUAA